CCAUCCGCGCUGCUCCUCCCGCGACGAGGCCGCCGCCAGCCUCCUUCCCCACCAACGGCCACCCCUACUCUUGCCUCUUCCUCCUCCCAUUCGCCCCCCCAUCAGAAUCCUCCCCCGGAACCCUAGCCAGCCGCACGCAACCCAUGGCGCCGCCUAGCUCGCCACCCCUGGCCGUCGGACCGUCGCGAGGCAAGCGCACGUCCUCCGCCCAGGCCGCGCCCGAGGCCGACCUGGUGGCCACAGUCACCACGCGCCCGCGCAAGGGUACCACAUCCAGGAAGAAGAAGCUUGUGCUCAAGGCGGCGGCGGGCAAGAAGCAGGCACCACAUCCGGGAAGAAGUUUGUGCUCAAGGCGGCGGCGGGCAAGAAGCAGCAGAAUUGGUGAGACUUGAGAGGCUAGGGUUUGUCUUGUUCCAGUGAACUGCAGGCUUGAUGUGCAUAUAUGUGACUAUUUUCUUAUGAUGAACUUGAAGAUGGUGGUUAAGGUAUUCAUGGUGGAGGGAAAGGUUGAUGUUGGUCUUGGUCCUAUCUAGGCGCAUGGGAGUAAGCUCGAGCUGCAGACGAGCUCAGACUCCAUAGGAGGAGCAUGUUCCGCUGCGCCUCUCCCACCUCCUCGGCGCACAGGGGGAUGGCCAGCGCCGCGCAGCAGCAGGGUGUUGAUCACAAGAUAGUAAAUGAUUUCUCUAUUAGUAGAGGUCUGAAGGUUCGAGAAGGGACGAAAGAUGAAGAAUUUGCCUGAAGAAAAUAUUGAACAAAAAGCUCCAGAUGGCUUCCUAGGGGUGAUGUGCUUCAGUUUGAGAUUGGGAUGUUGGCUUUCUCUAACCCGCCUUCCUUGAGUCUGAAGUUGGGUUCACAAGCAAGCAGGCCGCAGAGGACAUGGCACUGGCCAUGUUCAACCGUGCCCUGAAGCUUUCUGGAGCAGGUAUGUGCCUCUGUGUGUGUCUUCUCUAACUUCAUCUCGCUGGAUGUAUGGAUCAUUCUGCACGUUGGGCUUGUUGCUGGCUGCUAGCCUGGCUUGUAAGAGGAUGCUCCCCUGCUCUUGAGUCCAAGAUACUGAGGGAAAGUACAUAUCCAGAGGCACCAAUUGGGAGAGGUACAACAUAUGCAUUUCAAAUGCAUUUCAAAGAGAACUGGAAGAGCUAGCACCAAAGAGCCCCAACUCACCUCCACGAUCAAGUUCUACAUGCAAUUCACGGAUAGUGGUUGUCGGCACAUCUUUUAACCAAGUCACCUCCAUUGAUCCUUUUGUUGACAAGCAGCUAGACCCAAGACCCAAGGUACCAAACAAAAUAAGGAAGGCAUCAAAACUCCUAGGAAUCUUGCUAGAUAUGAGCAUCUCUUUUGCAUGACGAAGGAAAUGAGCGGCUGGCUAGAUCUAAACAUAUAUUAAAUCCUCAUUGGAUUACAAAUUGUGGAGGGACCGGUCAACAUUUUUAGUCUUUUACUGCAUGGCUGCGAAGUAUACACAGAUUUAGGAAAACUACCUGCGGUAAUUCCUGCUCUGGCAUGCAUUUCUCUUAAUU